rnacentral:rRNA from 1 species
GGGCACAGUAGCGAAAGAAAUCUGGUCCACCUCCCACCCGUGUUUAUUUUACCUUGUUGCUUCGGCGGGCCCGCCUUAACUGGCCGCCGGGGGGCUCACGCCCCCGGGCCCGCGCCCGCCGAAGACACCCUCGAACUCUGUCUGAAGAUUGAAGUCUGAGUGAAAAUAUAAAUUAUUUAAAACUUUCAACAACGGAUCUCUUGGUUCCGGCAUCGAUGAAGAACGCAGCGAAAUGCGAUACGUAAUGUGAAUUGCAAAUUCAGUGAAUCAUCGAGUCUUUGAACGCACAUUGCGCCCCCUGGUAUUCCGGGGGGCAUGCCUGUCCGAGCGUCAUUGCUGCCCUCAAGCCCGGCUUGUGUGUUGGGCCCCGUCCUCCGAUUUCCGGGGGACGGGCCCGAAAGGCAGCGGCGGCACCGCGUCCGGUCCUCGAGCGUAUGGGGCUUUGUCACCCGCUCUGUAGGCCCGGCCGGCGCUUGCCGAUCAACCCAAAUUUUUAUCCAGGUUGACCUCGGAUCAGGUAGGGAUACCCG